rnacentral:rRNA from 1 species
CAGCCGCCGCGGGAAUACGUAGGGUGCAAGCGUUGUCCGGAAUCAUUGGGCGUAAAGCGCGCGUAGGUGGCCAUUUAAGUCCGCUGUGAAAGUCAAAGGCUCAACCUUUGAAAGCCGGUGGAUACUGGAUGGCUAGAGUACGGAAGAGGCGAGUGGAGUUCCUGGUGUAGCGGUGGAAUGCGCAGAUAUCAGGAGGAACACCAGUGGCGAAGGCGACUCUCUGGUCUGUAACUGACGCUGAGGAGCGAAAGCGUGGGGAGCGAACAGGAUUAGAUACCCCCGUAGUCCCUGUCUCUUAUAC